CCUUUGACGUUAGCGGCGGACGGGUGAGUAACACGUGGAUAACCUACCUAUAAGACUGGGAUAACUUCGGGAAACCGGAGCUAAUACCGGAUAACAUUUGGAACCGCAUGGUUCUAAAGUGAAAGAUGGUUUUGCUAUCACUUAUAGAUGGACCCGCGCCGUAUUAGCUAGUUUGUAAGGUAACGGCUUACCAAGGCGACGAUACGUAGCCGACCUGAGAGGGUGAUCGGCCACACUGGAACUGAGACACGGUCCAG
rnacentral:rRNA from 1 species